rnacentral:rRNA from 1 species
UAACACGUAUCCAACCUGCCGAUGACUCGGGGAUAGCCUUUCGAAAGAAAGAUUAAUACCCGAUGGCAUAGUUCUUCCGCAUGGUGGAACUAUUAAAGAAUUUCGGUCAUCGAUGGGGAUGCGUUCCAUUAGGUUGUUGGCGGGGUAACGGCCCACCAAGCCUUCGAUGGAUAGGGGUUCUGAGAGGAAGGUCCCCCACAUUGGAACUGAGACACGGUCCAAACUCCUACGGGAGGCAGCAUG